CCUACGGGGGGCAGCAGUGGGGAAUAUUUGGCAAUGGAGGCAACUCUGACCCAGCAACGCCGCGUGAAUGAUGAAGGUCUUCGGAUUGUAAAGUUCUUUUCUAAGGGAAGAAGAAAGUGACGGUACCUUAGGAAUAAGCCUCGGCUAACUACCUGACAGCAGCCGCGGUAAUAAGUAGGAGGCAAGCGUUAUCCGGAAUGACUGGGCGUAAAGGGUGCGUAGGUGGUUUGACAAGUUGGUAGCGUAACUCCGGGGCUCAACUUCGGAACUACUACCAAAACUGUUGGACUCGAGUGCAGGAGGGGCAACUGGAAUUUCUAGUGUAGCGGUGGAAUGCGUAGAUAUUAGGAAGAACACCGGUGGCGAAGGCGAGUUGCUGGACUGUAACUGACACUGAGGCACGAAAGCGUGGGGAGCAAACAGGAUUAGAUACCCUGGUAGUC
rnacentral:rRNA from 1 species